GCGUUGGGCGGGGCCAGGCGGGGUGGGGCCUGCCCGUAGGCGGGCCAGGUGAGCGGCUGGAGUUGCAGAGGGCCAGGUGUGGUGCUCGGUGGUCCGCAGAGCUACAGAGACAAGGAAGCAACAGCCACACUGGGGGCCACAGGAGGGCCCUCAGUGGUGUCCAUGGCUGCCCUGGACCCCAUGCUGAACACAAGCCACCCAUUCUAUGAUGUGGCCAGACACGGCAUCCUGCAGGUGGCAGGGGAUGACCGCCAGGGGAGACGCAUCUUCACCUUCAGCUGCUGCCGACUGCCGCCCCUGCACCAGCUCAACCACCAGCGUCUGCUGGAGUAUCUGAAGUACACACUGGACCAGCAUGUGGAGAAUGACUAUACCAUCGUCUACUUUCACUACGGCCUCAGCAGCCAGAACAAACCAUCCCUCGGCUGGCUCCAGAAUGCCUACAAGGAGUUUGACCGGAAGUACAAGAAGAACCUGAAGGCCCUGUAUGUUGUGCACCCCACCAGCCUCAUCAAAGUUGUGUGGAACAUCUUCAAGCCCCUCAUCAGUCACAAGUUUGGGAAAAAAGUCACCUACUGCAGCACCCUGCGUGAGCUCCGGGAACACCUUCAGUGCGACCAGCUGCUGGUACCCCCGGAAGUCGUGCAGUAUGAUGAGAAGCUGCAAAACCUGCAGAAAGGCCAGCUGCCCCCUCCCACCAAGACUCCACCACCUCGGCCGCCUCUGCCCACCCAGCAGUUUGGCGUCAGCCUGCAAUACCUCAAAGACAAGAAUCAAGGGGAACUCAUCCCCCCCGUGCUGCGGUGGACGGUGACGUACCUGAGAGAGAAAGGGCUUCGCACUGAGGGCCUGUUCCGGAGAUCAGCAAGUGCCCAGACUGUCCGCCAGAUACAACGGCUGUAUGAUCAAGGGAAGCCGGUAAACUUUGAUGACUAUGGGGACAUGCAUGUCCCAGCCGUGAUCCUGAAGACAUUUCUGCGAGAGCUGCCCCAGCCGCUGCUGACCUUCCAAGCCUACGAGCAGAUUCUGGGGAUCACCACCUCAGAAGAGGGGCCUGACACUGUGUCAUCACAGCCCGGAUGUGUCCCUGGAAAUGUCGACUUCAAGGCAACUCCUUGUCCAUUGAGGUUACGAAGCAGCCACAGCUCGGUUCUCUAAGACGGUGAUUUGUAUGAGCAAGCCUUCAAGCUGUUUAUAGACCAGAAUCCUGUGUCACAGUUACACACCUGUACAAUUCCAGGGUCUCCCGGUCAGUACACAGGUGUAGUGGGAGGACAGUAGUGUGUCAGAGGCUGGGGGGUUCAGGGACAGGUUUGAGUGUAUGCCUAUGGGUGCACCUGCAUUCAGGGAGCCGUGUGAGUACUUUCUCAUGGUGAUUUUUUUAAGGUGUUUCUGCUGGAACCACUGAGCCACCUACUGUCUCUUUUACAAAUUUUCUUUCAGAAAUGGUCUCACCAUGUAGCCCAGGCUGACCCUGAACUUGCAAUCCUCCUGUCUCAGCCUCCAAAUGCUGGGAUUGCAGGCCUCUGCAGCCACAUUCAACUUAGUUUUUAACUCCAAGGCUAUCAUGAGGGUCUGAGGGCAUGGACUGGUUGGUAGAGUGGUUGCCUAGCAACCAUGGGCUCUGUGCCCCAGUAUAAACCAGGUAUAGAGGCAUUCACUUGUAAUUCCAGCAGUUGGGAAGUGGAGGCAGGAGGCUUAGGAGUUCAAGGGUAUAUCCUCAGCUACAUAGCAGGUUUGAGGCCAGCCUGGAGCAUAAGUGAUCCUUUCUCAAAACUAAACAAAGCUCAAAUGGAGUGGGGCUAAAGGAACCGAGGGUCUAUGUGUGAAAGAGUUACACCGUCCCUACCCCCUCCCCUGGCCAUGGGGCUUUUCCCAAGAACGACACAGUGCGGUGGUCCAUGUACCGAGAAUCGUAGGCAGAUGCGUUUAUCUUAAAGACGGGGAGUAAAGCACUAGCCUUCCCCAGCAGAACAGUCUCCGAAGCAGCUACUGGCUCCAUCCCUAUAAGCCCCAGAAAGCCCUCGGCCAAUGUGUCAACACACAGCCAUAGUUGUAAAGUAUUGCUGAGCUCUGGCAUGGUGGCGGAUGCUUCUGAUGCCAGCAUUUGGGCGGUAGAGGGAAGAAACAAAAGAAACGCGCUGGGCCAGAUGUGGACUGCCACCUGUGUACAGCUUACCCGGCCCUGGUCUAGCCUUUUCCUGUCUGCAGAGUGAUUCCCUGCCCUGUUCCCGGCAGGUGAGCAGUUUCUGUAACCAUCACCCAGAGGAGGGAGGAGCUUGGCAAAAGUAGUGGGGGACUGUGUUCCCCCGGGCCAGCAGCCUCAUGCUAUUACAGGUGUGGAGAGCAGCCUGCGCGUGACCCAUUGUCGCCUGAUCCUGCAGGGCCUCCCAGAACACAACUAUGCUGUCCUCCGCUAUCUCAUGGGCUUCUUGCAUGAGGUGUCCCGGGAGAGCAUCGCGAACAAGAUGAACAGCUACAACC